UGGGUAAUCUUUUGAAACUUCAUCGUGCUGGGGAUAGAGCAUUGCAAUUAUUGCUCUUGAACGAGGAAUCCCUAGUAAGCACAAGUCAUUAGCUUGUGCUGAUUACGUCCCUGCCCUUUGUACACACCGCCCGUCGCUACUACCGAAUGAAUGGCUUAGUGAGGCCCUCGAAUUGAGGUUCGGAGACUGGCAACAGUUUCUGUUCUUUGAGAAGUUGGUCAAACUUGGUCAUUUAGAGGAAGUAAAAGUCGUAACAAGGUUUCCGUAGGUGAACCUGCGGAAGGAUCAUUA
rnacentral:rRNA from 1 species